GCCCGGUUAGCUCAAUCGGUAGAGCGUGAGACUCUUAAUCUCAAGGUUGCGGGUAAGUUCAUCCAUCCACAACAGUGGUUCUUCUCACAAUCAAUUGCAUGCUAACAUCACCUUAAAGGUUCGACCCCCGCAUCGGGCU